UACGAAGGGGCGUAGCGUUGUUCGGAAUGACUGGGCGUAAAGGGCGCGUAGGCGGCUUUUUAAGUCGGGCGUGAAAGCCCCGGGCGUCAACCUGGGAACGGCGCUUGAUACUGGAAGGCUUGAGGGCGGGAGAGGAUGGUGGAAUUCCCCAGUGUAGAGGUGAAAUUCGUAGAUAUUGGGAAGAACACCGGUGGCGAAGGCGGCCAUCUGGACCGCUACUGACGCUGAGGCGCGAAAAGCGUGGGGAGCAAAAC
rnacentral:rRNA from 1 species